rnacentral:lncRNA from 1 species
CCUCAUACAUGUCCUUAAUCGAACAGAUGUACGCCACUGGUAUCCCUCUCGCCUCCAAGCAUCUCCACAGAACCUCCCUAGGAACCUUGUCAUACGCCUUUUCCAAGUCGAUAAACACCAAGUGCAGAUCCCUCUUCCUCUCUCUAUAUCUUUCUACCAGCCUCCGUACAAGGUGAAUUACCUUAGUUAUCGAUCGACCAGGCAUAAAUCCAAAUUGAUUCUCCGAAAUAGGAACUAUCUUCC